rnacentral:rRNA from 1 species
AGCAGCCGCGGUAAUUCCAGCUCCAAUAGCGUAUAUUAAAGUUGUUGCAGUUAAAAAGCUCGUAGUUGAAUUUCGGGAUUAGUACGUCGGUCGUGCCUUAGGUACGUACUGGUGUUACUGGUUCCUACCUUCUGACGAACCAUCAUGUCAUUAAUUUGGUGUGGUGGGGAAUCAGGACUGUUACUUUGAAAAAAUUAGAGUGUUUAAAGCAGGCUCGCGCUUGAAUACAUUAGCAUGGAAUAAUGAAAUAGGACGUUGAUCCUAUUUUGUUGGUUUCU